AGAGAAUCACUCCCCUAGUGUAGGAGUGUGUACAAGAAGGGGGGAAAUGAAAUUCACUGCCUAGCUGGUUGGUUACUGCAGUCGCACCCCACCCCCACCCCAGUGCUUCAUGAUGGGAGACAUUCUGGAAGAGUUUAACACGUAUAUCAGGAAAUUGGGUCUUCAGAAAUGAAGGUGGACAAGAAGAGGUGGAACUCCAUCCCAAGACAAUUACACGUAUCAUACAGGCAAAGGCCACCACGUCUGCCUGGUGCCCAGGAGUAGAAAGAAUCAGACGAAGCCAGAAGGAGACUAGAGUCGCCUCCUUACCACCAGCAGGUGACCUAAGAGCACCCUUGCUGCCUCUCCUACUGCCUCUCCCUGCCCUCUAGACCAGAGAUGCCAGGGCCCAGAACAAGGAGGGGUGAAGUGAAAGAGCAGGCUGUACCUCCACCAGCUAGCGCCCAGUUCCUACAUUGUAAGCACUGUAAGGACAUAUUCCUCAUGCCCAGCAUGUGCCUGGCCCAGAGAAGACAUCUGAUACUUGUGUUGAAAAAGGAAUGAGUGAAUGAAAGUAUCCCAAUUCACCUUCUUUCUCAGUCACUCACUGCUUUCCUGGUUUAGGAGUCAUAUUUGUCAGUCAGAGGAGGGUGUUCCCUUGGCUCCGAGACUUGCUUAGGUAACAAUGUGGGAUAACCCAAAGUAUACAUGGUGUGUGUUCUCCGGACAUGUCAGCUUCUGGGCGGGGCUUAGGCUCCCACAGACUCUAGUCCCACCCCUGGCAUUUCAUCCCAGCUCAGGGGGCAGAAGAGGAUAAAUUUCAGCUGUUCUCAGCCCUGCUGCAUCUUUACCAAAGACCUCCGACAGCAGCAUGAAUUUGGGAGGCUUCCUCCUCCUUGUGACCCUAGUUGCCCUCAGCUCAGAGGUACAGGAGCUUCAGGCUGCCAUGAGACCCUUGAAACUUCUGGAUGAAGACAUCCUAAGGGCCAUCCUUCUCUAAUAGUUGUUCAUCCCUUCCUGGAGUUCCUGUCUUCAAAGAUGUGACUAUUUGAAACUCCUUGCCCAGGAAGACAGAUGAAAAUGGGGGCCCGUGGAUGGAGAUGACAAGGGAUGUGGUGGGGAAGGGAAAAUAAUCGUUUCUUUUAAUAAAUCGUCAUAAUUGGG